GCCGCGUUGGCGUAGUGGUAGCGCGUCGCACUUGUAAUGCGAAGGUCACUAGUUCAAUCCUGGUACGUGGCA
rnacentral:tRNA from 1 species